CCUACGGGUGGCAGCAGUGAGGAAUAUUGCACAAUGGGCGCGAGCCUGAACCAGCCACGUAGCGUGAAGGAUGACUGCCCUACGGGUUUUAAACUUCUUUUAUAAAGGAAUAAAGUGAGGCACGUGUGCCUUUUUGUAUUUACUUUAUGAAUAAGGAUCGGCUAACUACGUUCCAGCAGCCGCGGUAAUACGGAGGGUCCGAGCGUUAUCCGGAUUUAUUGGGUGUAAAGGGAGCGUAGAUGGGUUGUUAAGUCAGUUGUGAAAGUUUGCGGCUCAACCGUAAAAUUGCAAUUGAUACUGGCAGUCUUGAGUACAGUUGAGGUAGGCGGAAUUCGUGGUGUAGCGGUGAAAUGCUUAGAUAUCACGAAGAACUCCGAUUGCGAAGGCAGCUUACUAAACUGCCACUGACACUGAUGCUCGAAAGUGUGGGUAGCAAACAGGAUUAGAUACCCUGGUAGUC
rnacentral:rRNA from 1 species